rnacentral:lncRNA from 1 species
AUGACAUUGCAUGACAACUUCCACCAAUAAUGGGCACAGCAUUUCCUUUGAAUGUGCCCAGUAAAUCAGUAGCUGUAUGUGACCUUUAAUAUAUAGCUACCUUCUAUUUCACAACUUCCUGAUGCAUGGAAAUCCUUUUUGUCUAGAUUUAGUACAACUGGGAAUUUUGAUCUCUUGUAGAAAUUUAUGAUGAGAGUUGUGAAAUAAGGUAAAAUAGUGGCCUCACAGCCCUGGAAGAUACCUUAGAAGUCAUACAGUCCAGUCACUGGGGCCCAGACAGAUGUCAGUGUUGGUGUUCAAUUAUGUUUGGAAAUAAAAUUUAAACAGUCAAAUGAAGGCCACUUUUUGGUUAGGAGGACUAUAGGAAAAUUUGAUCUGCUCACCCACAGGGGACUUUAUCACUAUAAAGUAAUCUUAUCUUUGGUACAAGUCAAAAUAAAAUGGCUUUUGGGUUCUUUUUCUGAGCAAUUCAGGGUAAGAAGUGAAAUUGAAUCAAGAUUUCCCUGCCUGUAGAGUUUCGUGGGCCUUUUGUGGGAAAUCUAGCUGACUUUUACCUAUGAAGCUGUCCUGUUAAUUCAUCUCACAAAAUGUGGCAAUUGUCCUAUUUGCUAUUUCAAUAAAUGAAAAUCAAGUACUGAUAGAGUACAGGUUUUUAUUUCCCCUGGAACAAGUGUUUGGCAUAUAAAGGGAGUUAUAAAAGACUGAAUGGUUGGAAUAAUUGGGGAAAGUAUAUUUCCAUUGUAUAUAUUCCCUAGCCAUAGUUGUACAGUCUAUCCACAUUCUUGCAUAGUUGGCCUCACAACAGAGUCCUAGACUAGUUAUUUUGAUGGGACUGUCUAUGUGUGUUAGAAUACUGUUUUGUGCACAGCUCCUAAACUUGCCCGUAAAUGUACUGAACUUGUGUAACUUUGAUGUCAGUGAUAUGGCACACUUAACCAAAAUAGAAUUCAGUGCCCUGAUUUCUGAAGAAGUCUGGAUUUAUUUAAACCAAAUUAGGCUCCGUGUUGAGCUUUCUUCUAAUGGUUUACAAAAUGAUGCCAGUACAUAACUCUUCUUGUCCAUAAUGAACUUGACAAACUAAUUGUCUGCAUUCCGGCAUCUGGACAACUUCCCUUCAAUGCCUGUUUCUUCUCAGUAUUGAAUUAAAUACCAUUGUUGACUUCAAAGGGCAUGUGUUUUGUUCCUUCAGGUAAUCCAGGUGUAUUUGUCACUGCUUAUUUUCCCUUCUGUGAGGGUCUCACCUUGUGUUUGUCUUUUGCACUGUUUAAUAUCUCUAGCUGUAAAAGUCUAACAUUAAUCAUUUCUCUUUUGUUUGUACUCCUUUCCCAUCC